AGAUGUGAGGGCGAUCUGACUACAGCAUCUGUCACCCCAAUGUUCGCCAGAGUUGAUUCGGCUGAUCUGGCUGGCUAGGCGGGUGUCCCCUUUCUCCCUCACCACUCCAUGUACAUCCCUCCCAAAGUUGUGCAUGCAGUCAAAGAGGAUGACCUUUCCCAAUAGAGGAGAGGACCGCUCUUGUGUCAAGGGUAUACAAGUAGCUGCGCUCCCCUGCUAGAACCUCCAACAAGCUCUCAAGGUCCAUUUGUAGGAGAACAUAGGGUAGUCAAGCUUCCAACACCCCAGACACACCCAAAUGAGGCUCUGCACAUGGCAGUCUGCCUUUAAAA
rfam:Mustela putorius furo unplaced genomic scaffold scaffold00617, whole genome shotgun sequence.